GAAUUAUGGGAUUUUAACCCUGCUUUAAGCGACAACACCAGGCAAGCAACGGUCGAGGAGGCACCACGGUAAAAAUCACCUGGAGGACUCCAUAUGCCAGUACUGUGGCAGCUCAUGGGCUGGCAAUGUAAACUUUGCAAAUUUGAGGAUUCUUCAAAAGGCGAGCUGCUCAAGCAUUAUCGACUCAAGCACGGUCAAAGCUCCGAAACCUUGGAUUUCCUGAGGUUGCCUGCAACUCACUUAAGAACAAGAACCCAGAUGAUCGGUCUCCUGCAAAGAAUAUAAAGAAAGCACAGAAAGGAGAAGUUGUG